AGAGUAAAUCACUGGUGAGGAGGUUCAGGGGUCUCUGAAGUAUGAGAAGCAGGCUUCCUCCAGAAAGCUGACAGCACAGUAGGAGAACAGCCACAAUGUUAUAUGGCUCAUAGCAAAGUAUAUGUGAAAAGAGAACAGGUCCCGUGCACGAUAACCUGCCAGAAUAUGGACUCAGCCGCACCGUAGUUGUGAGAUCUGAAAGAAGCCUCCUAAGAAAAGGAAAUUCCGUUCCUGGGAUCUUCUGAGUAUAUGCCCAGGAUUGAUAGAAGCACC